CAGCUGUAUUAUCAAACUUCCUGUAACCACCUGCAAUGCUUGUUUCGCCAGUUCUGUUUACAGGGAAACUAUAACCUAAAAGGAGUUACGCCUGCUUUCACAUCAACACAGAGAUCACAUACAAGACAGCAGCAGACUAACGCAGGGUGAUGAAGAUAACAGGAAGAGUCACGUGUUGCUGUGUAGCGCUGUUCCUCACCCUGGCCUCUGUGUCGGCUGUACAAAGGCUCAGUUCAAUCAAUGAUUUGAAGAAAAUCAACUUUGGCCAAUCUGUGCCCAAGCACAGUCUUGUGCUGCUCCACUGGUUUGCCAACAUAGUUCACAUCGACAAUAACAAUGUCAUAUGGCCGACCUUUGACCCAAACAGCGGAGAUUAUGGCUCACAUCAUUAUGGCAACUAUGAGAGGCUGUUGGACCGACUGCCUCGGGGAUACCGAUACUACACUGUUGGCAAUCUCAAUCAAGACACGUCCAUUCAACUUCCAUCUUAUGUUGUCCGUCCAUCCCAUCCAGAGUAUGUGGGAAGAAACAGGGACAGAAUCAUAAUUAGAGUCAGUGAGCAGAACACAGGAUGGCAAACUUUGCAGAGGAUUGAUCAGGUGUAUAUCACACAGCACUAUGAGCCUUCUGAAAAUCAGGGGACACUUUAUGAUCCAGCUCACACCUACCAGAUCACUACUAACCUCUUAAGACAGAUCAGAGAGUUUUCUGUAGGAGAAAACCAACAGACGCUGUCACAUCUCAGAAACCAAUUUGGAAGUAACGCUGAUGAUUUCCAGUUAAGGCACAUCAUAAACACAUGGGGUGACCUCGCUUGCCUUGGACUGCUCUUGUUUAUUGUGAUCCAAGAAAAGUACUCCUCGAACCAACACAACAACAGACCGGAAAACUACAACAGCAGACCGGAAAACUACAACAGCAGACGGGAAAACAGACAAAAUCAUUGCUGUGAUGGUUGUUGUGAUGGUUUCGCGAUCUGCUGUUUUAUUAUAGUUAUUUUAGUUUUAAUAAUUGUUUUUUUGUGCAUUUCUUUUGCAAGUAGAUGAAAAAUGAGGGAGAGCAAUGUCCCUAGAUAUUGUCUAAACCAAGGUGUGAUGGAUGUGCUUUUCAAGGACAAUGAGGACCACGCAGCCAGCAGGACUCACAAGUCGAUUGGGAACAGUGAAUCAGGGAGGUACGUAUGGAGCCAGGACAGUGACUUUGGAUUUUGGCAUUGAAAACAAAACCUGAACCGAAAAAGGAAACAUUGGCAUUGAAACACUUGUACUCGAAAAAGUUGUAUUGGCACUGAAACAAGUUCCACAGAAAAAUAAAACACAGGCGUAAAAAACAUCCAAGCUUCUAAUAUGGAAUGAAUGUGAGACUUGUUCAUGUUUUGACCAUGCACUUAAAAUCUUAUUAUCUUUUUAAUUGAUAUUUUUUGCAUUGUGAUGUGUUUUCCAAUGGCAAUCUUCUGAUUUGUUUCUUCAUGUCAGUCUUUUUUCACUGACAGUUUUUGUUUUACGCUGACAGUUUCUAUUCGAUGACAGCUGGUUUUCAGUUUCAAUUCUCUGUCACUGUUUUGGCUUGGAGGGGAGGAGUUUGAGGGGAGGGGGCAAGGAGAGUGUGAUUUCCAUAUAAUCUGCAUACUAAAUACUGUUCUGGCUCCAAAGUUACAAAGCUCAGUACCGCUGAACAACGGCCAUGGGUUGUUCUGUUUGCUGUGUUUUGCCUCCAUAUGUUUAAUUUCAUACUAUUUUAGCAUUUUUGUAAAUGUCGUUCAGUUAAGAUUGAGAUUUAGGCUCGGUAUAACAUGCUUGUGAUGAAAAGCCAAUUACUACAUAAACAUCACAAAAGUUUAAAAACAGGAUGACAGUUUUAGGUUUUAUUAUACCAAGAAGGGCGGUCUAAGGGGUUGUGUUUCUCCAAGCACACAUCUGGACAUUUGAGGCUUUAAAGUUCUAUUUACUAAAUUGCAGUUUGUUAAUAACAGUAAAAAUUCUUGUUAAUUACAAAAGUAUUGGAAAUGUAACAAUGGCUUUUAUUAUGUAUCAUAAUACACUGCUUUGGCAUGGUCAUAAAGCUCCAGGCUUCAUUCAUGCAACACUGUCAUGCUCCAGUAUGUCUCAUCUAAUAGAAAUUUUUACUGCUGAUUCAUAGUGUGUCUGGAAGAGAUGAAGAGAAUGUACAGUGUUUGGCCGCAACUAAUGAUUAUUUUCAUUAUCAAUUAAUCUGUCGAUCAUUUUCUCGAUUAAUUGAUUAGUUGUUUGGUCUAUAAAAAAGGUCAGAGAAUGGUGAAAAAAUGUCGAUCCGUGUUUCCCAAAGCCAUGACGUUCACAAAUGUCAUUUGAAAAGCUGAAAUCAAGAGAAUUGACAUGUUUUCUUAAAAAAUGACUCAAAACGAUUAAUUAUCCAAGUAGUUGGCGAUUAAUUUAAUAUUGACAACUAAUCGAUUAAUUGACUUAUCGUUGCGGCUCUAGUAAAUUGCUCUGAUGGAUAAAUGACACAGAUAGGUAAAAGGCUCUAUGCUCUGAUAAGGACAACCUUCACUGAUAAUGUAGUUGCUUUAAAAAACAGGAGUGUAUUUCAUUUAUGUUUUUUAUUCUUUCUGUAGUGUUGAAAAUGCUGUGUGUUUAUUAAACUAUAAUUUUUUAAUCAGACCCAUGUCAGUAUUUUUAUUUUACGUUCAAGGAAACUGGAUCAGCACAAGUUAGAUGUGCAAAAAAAUGAAGACAACUUUAACUAUUCCUCGUUUUACAGACAGUCACAGGAGAGGCACAGAUAGAGUGAAGCACACUAUUGAUAUCUGGUGGUAUCAGCUUUGAAGAACAAGUCAGUAUUGGUCCAACAUUGUUUUUUACUGCUUAUAUUUUGCCUGUUGUUGAACUGGCAUUUUGUGAUGUAGUAAUAAUCUUAAAUGUCUUGAAAAGCGCAUUUCAACUAUUAUGCACCAGAAUUUAUACUACAACUCUUUAAAAAAAAAAAAACAGGAUGAAAAGAUCACCAUUUAUAGAUGGGAAAAUAUUGGAUAUAUCAGUAUUAACUUAAAGAAACAAGAAGAAACUAGGCGUCCUGGUGACCUAAUGCUCACAGAUCUUUUGUUAUAAGGUCAUCCUCGUCUCUCAACCCAUAAUUUCUGGCACACUCUACAGUGCACUGUCCAAUAAAGACAAAAUGCCAGAAAUCAUCACAUUUUGUAGGCCGAUAUUGGCAUUAAAGAGUAAAAGGAAUAAAAAUCAAAUAACUGCCAAUAUUUCACUCCACUUUCAGGAAAUGAUCCCUUAGAUUUGGUGAUCAAGAUUUAUGACAUAUGUACUGGGGUAGGACAUUUUACAGUACAACAAUAAACCUUACUAUUUAAGAUGACAGCCAUGGUAAAUAUAACAUGACAGCCUUGGUAAAUAUAACAUGACAGUAAAUAUAUAACAGUGAUCUUCAAUGGAAAUUACAACAACACUACAAUGAAAGCUCUAAUCAAGAAUAUUAGCAAAACACACAUAUUUUAUAGGCUGCAUGUUUAUGUAUGUACUGCGAUUUGAAAUUGAUCUGUGAUAAGUGAAUACUGGCUAAUAAUAAGCCAGGCACUACUACAAACCUCCUAGUUCCUCACUCUGCAGUCCAAAGGACACACUCGCUGUCAAACUUGGACCUGCACAAGCUACUUUCCAUCCUAAACCUGCUCAUAAAAUUCACAGGUGACACACAGAAUUACUCCUCUCUUUACAGAAUCAUUCCACUAAACACUGCAGAUAAAACAAUCAGCUUUUUGCAUUUCUACAGGCACACGACCCCCCCCAAAAAACACUGAAAGAGAGCACUAAUUUUCUUUUCUGGAAUACAGAAGGAAGUUUUAUCUAAACAGCUGUAUUAUCAAACUUCCUGUAACCACCUGCAAUGCUUGUUUCAGCAGUUUCAUUUACAGGGAAACAGAAACCUAAAAAGGAGUUACGCCUGCUUUCACAUCAACACAGAGAUCACAUACAAGACAGCAGCAGACUAACGCAGGGUGAUGAAGAUAACAGGAAGAGUCACGUGUUGCUGUGUAGCGCUGUUCCUCACCCUGGCCUCUGUGUCGGCUGUACAAAGGCUCAGUUCAAUCAAUGAUUUGAAGAAAAUCAACUUUGGCCAAUCUGUGCCCAAGCACAGUCUUGUGCUGCUCCACUGGUUUGCCAACAUAGUUCACAUCGACAAUAACAAUGUCAUAUGGCUGACCUUUGACCCAAACAGCGGAGAUUAUGGCUCACAUCAUUAUGGCAACUAUGAGAGGCUGUUGGACCGACUGCCUCGGGGAUACCGAUACUACACUGUUGGCAAUCUCAAUCAAGACACGUCCAUUCAACUUCCAUCUUAUGUUGUCCGUCCAUCCCAUCCAGAGUAUGUGGGAAGAAACAGGGACAGAAUCAUAAUUAGAGUCAGUGAGCAGAACACAGGAUGGCAAACUUUGCAGAGGAUUGAUCAGGUGUAUAUCACACAGCACUAUGAGACUUCUGAAAAUCAGGGGACACGUUAUGAUCCAGCUCACACCUACCAGAUCACUACUAACCUCUUAAGACAGAUCAGAGAGUUUUCUGGGGGAGAAAACCAAGAGACGCUGUCACAUCUCAGAAACCAAUUUGGAAGUAACGCUGAUGAUUUUUACAUCAGAAAAACAUGGGGUGACCUCGCUUGCCUUGGACUGUUGUUGUUUAUUGUGAUCGAGCAAAAGUACUCCUCGAAACAACAGAACAACAGACCGGAAAACAACAACAAACCAAAAAACAACAACAGACCACAAAACUACAACAGACCGGAAAACUACAACAGACCGGAAAACUACAAUAGACCAGACAACAGUCAAAAUCAUUGCUGUGAUGAUGCUUCAGAGAUCUGCAGUUUUGUUGUAUUUAUUUUAGUUUUAUUAAUUAUUUUUUUAUGCAUUUUUUUUGCAAGUAGAUGAAAAAUGAGGGAGAGCAAUGUCCCUAGAUAUUGUCUAAACCAAGGUGUGAUGGAUGUGCUUUUCAAGAACAAUGAGGACCACGCAGCCGGCAGGACUCACAAGUCGAUUGGGAACAGUGAAUCAGGGAGGUACGUAUGGAGCCAGGACAGUGACUUUGGAUUUUGGCAUUGAAAACAAAACCUGAACCGAAAAAGGAAACAUUGGCAUUGAAACACUUGUACUCGAAAAAGUUGUAUUGGCACUGAAACAAGUUCCACAGAAAAAUAAAACACAGGCGUAAAAAACAUCCAAGCUUCUAAUAUGGAAUGAAUGUGAGACUUGUUCAUGUUUUGACCAUGCACUUAAAAUCUUAUUAUCUUUUUAAUUGAUAUUUUUUGCAUUGUGAUGUGUUUUCCAAUGGCAAUCUUCUGAUUUGUUUCUUCAUGUCAGUCUUUUUUCACUGACAGUUUUUGUUUUACGCUGACAGUUUCUAUUCGAUGACAGCUGGUUUUCAGUUUCAAUUCUCUGUCACUGUUUUGGCUUGGAGGGGAGGAGUUUGAGGGGAGGGGGCAAGGAGAGUGCGAUUUCCAUAUAAUCUGCAUACUAAAUACUGUUCUGGCUCCAAAGUUACAACAGCUCAGUACCACUGAAUGACAGCCAUGGGUUGUUCUGUUGUUGGCUUUGUUUUGCCUCCAUAUGUUUAAUUUUAUUGAGUACUUCUUCAGCUAGUUUUGUAAACAGUGUUCAGUUAAGAUUGAAAUAUAGGCUAGGUAUAACAUGCUUGUGAUGAAAGGCCAGAUACUUUACAUCACCCAUCUCAAACUGUGUGCUAUGAAGGGCUGAGAGUCUUCAGGACAUUUGGGGAUUUAAAGUUCUAUUUACGAAAUUGCAGUUUGUUAAUAACAGUGGAAACUGAUCUUUAUUACAGAAGUAUUAGAACUGAGAAAAAUGGCUUUUAGUGUAAAUCAUAAUGCACUGCUUUGGCAUGGUCACAAAGCUCCAGGCUUCAUUCAUGCAACACUGUCAUGCUCCAGCAUGGCUCAUCUAAUAAAAAUGACUCACUGCUGAUUCAUCAUGUGCUUGAUAGAGAUGAGGAUAAUGGAAAUUGCUCUGAUGGAAAAAUAAAUGACACAGAUAGGUGAAAGGCUCUAUGGUAUGAUAAGGACAGCCUUCACUAAUUAUGUAUUUGUUUAAAAAAAAAAAAUCAUUUAUGGUUUUGUUUUCUUCCUGUAGUUUUGAAUUUGAAAUGAUGAUGAUGAUGAUGAUGAUGUGUGUGUGUUUAUUAAACUAUAAUUUAUCAGUCAGA